UACUCCUACGGGAGGCAGCAGUGCGGAAUUUUAGAUAAUGGAGGGAACUCUGAUCUAGCGACGCCGCGUGCAGGAAGAAGGUCUUCGGAUUGUAAACUGCUGUGGUAAGGGAAAAAUGCUAUGUAGAGUGGAAAGCUACAUAGAGGGAUGGUACCUUACUAGAAAGCCCCGGCUAACUACGUGCCAGCAGCCGCGGUAAUA
rnacentral:rRNA from 2 species